CCUAGCUCCCUAUGCAAUGUUUCAAAGUUUCUGACCAGAAUACAACUUUGUGAAGGAAGUACCUUCAUAGAGUUUACAAAUGGGAUGAAACUUUGCCAUACUCUCAAGUAUUCCAAAUCAUUAGCCUCAACCUAAAUUCAGUUCAUUUCAUUGAACUAUGUGAGCACAGGAGCAAUUCUUGUUUUCUGUCCAAAUUUUCAGUUUGUGAAGCAAGUAUAUUCUAUCUUGCUCCAUUAUGGCUGAAAAUAUUUCCAAGCCUUCUCCUAUCCAUAUAACCCACCAACCCAAGAGUUUGGCUCAUUUCAUGUAGCCAAUAUUUUCCCAGAAUUUUCCAAAGUUUCUGGUCAGAAGAGAUGCUUGUGAAACAAGUACCAAUUUGGCAAGUCCAUUUGAUAUGAUAUUUUUGCAGCAUCUACAUAUGACCAAAUCAUCAAGCUUUGCCAAGUUUUAGCCCAAUCCAGCACUCCUAGUGAGUGCUCCUUCAUCAUUUGAUUUCUGGACCAGGUUUGGCAUUUGUACUGCAACUAUGCUAUAUCCUUGUCGUAAUGAACCCCAACUUCCCAGGACCGUAGUCGUUGCUACCGUAAACCUCCCAAACAUCCCGUUUAGUUCUUAAUCUCACCAGUUAGAUCACCAAGAUGUGGCCAAGUUUGCAAUAGCAAACUUGUCGAGCUUGUUCCCCUCUGCUCCCUACACUUCUGCUCGUGCCAUCACCUCUUCUUUAAUGAGCCUUGGAGGGACUCCACUGAUGACAAGGGUUGGCAUGAGGUAGAUGGCCAGAGCGCGUUUUCUCCUUGGUGACACGGGCAUUGCCAGCAAAAUCGGUGGUCAAGCCACUGUUCUCGUCGGCAGCCCUGCUCCGGCCGGUUCUGGCUUGUCCAAGCGUGUCACACAGCUUCCCCUCGAUGUUGUCUUCCCCCUCGAGCUCGUUCCCCCUUCGUUUGCUUCCUCGUUGAGCCGUCACCGUCGCCGAACACAGUGAGCGCCCGUGUGCGCCGUUGUUUCCUCACACCUGUCCGCGAACUUUGCUCGAUUUUGUGACCUCCUGGCGGUCGUCCGCGUCCCCCUCGUCGCCUUGCCGCCCCUUCCCGUGAGUCUUGGCUGCCCGUGCGCGUCGCCGGCGCACGGACACUUAGCCGUGUCGCGUGUCACCUCCUCCCCUCCCUCUCGAGCCUUCCCGGCGGCUAAUUAAGCAUGCCUCGAGCUUCAUCGCGGUCCACAACCCCCUCCGAGAGCCUCUCCCCGAGCCCAGAGCCCCUCUCUGAUCCCCACCGCCGCUAUGGUCGCUGCCUCGGGUCCCUUUGAUUCCGGCGACCAGGAGUCCCCCUCGCCGUUCCACCUCCACCACGGCAUCACCUGAGGUCCGGCGAGCCUCCCCGUGGCCUCAGCCUCGCUGUUCCCCCAUCGGAGCACCCUGUUCGCUGGCGGCCGAAGCCACCUCCGCCGCGAGCCCUGCUGCUCCUUUCCCAAUCCCCCUCACUGGCAACGGAGACCACCCCGAGAUGCGCCUCUCGCUCCUGAACUCGUGGGUAGGUCAGCUGUCGUCUGCGAUGGCCAGAGUCGCCAGCAAUAGCUGUCGAGGCGAGCCCCUCCCUCGGCUAGGCGCGCGCAUGAGCGGGAGGUUGAAGACGCCAGGCCAGCCAGGCCCCUCCCCGCGUGACCCCACCUGGCAGCGUCUCGGCGUUGACCCUGCCCCGGGCCCGCGUCUAAAACGUAUUCGACCCAAAGGCGCGUUCAUUUUUUCCUCCAGGGGCCUGUUUGCUGGAAAAAAUUCACCGAUAGGUCCCUGAGCUUCAACCCUUGGUAUCUCGACAACCGUAACUCCGAUUGAGCCCCCUCCAAGAGAGAACUGUUUCCGGCAACUGUUUCCGCGAUCGUUUCACACUUCU